UCAGAGUCAACAGGCAAGUGAUUUUAUUUCUUGUCUUACCUGGUCUCAGUGAAAAUGAAAUGCUCUUUGCUAUUAGUUUAAAGGGAAUUAGUUUCUAGUUACUAUUUUCAAGUUCUGACUAACACAAAAGGAGUUAAUAAUUACGAAGGGGUGAGAAAGCAUGAGUUGCUUUUUUAAACAAAGAUAGAUAAGAAAAGCAAGCAAUCUCAAAAUACAUGAGAUCUUCUCUUAAUAAAUACAAAAUGUGAAAAACUAAAUUUCGCAUAGGAAAGUGUUUUUCCUCUCAAAAGAUAGUAUUUAAGUCAACUACAAUCUUGUUCCAUGUUGAAUUGCCUUAGAAAAAUCUGUAUUUAAGAGAGAAGUAAUAUUCUGAGUAUGUCCUUAAAAACAAAUGAUACUGCUAUGCUUUAUAUAACUUCCCAUGAUAAAAUGAAUGACAGUGUGAUUCUCAAUGCUUAAUGGCCAUUCUUAGGUAUUAAACUAAACAGGUGUUCAAUGGAAUGAAUGAAUAAGCAUCAUUUGGUUUUCCAUAAUGGAAAUGAUUAACAGAGCUGAAAAGUAGAGAGCAAGAAAAAUCAGGGAGCUCUCAUUUCUGUAAAGAGACUGGUAAGAACAGGAAACACUGCAGAAUAUGAUGCUGCUCUCGGAUUAUUUGAGGGUAUUUAAUAAUGCUAAAAUCACUCACAAGACUGACAUCAACCUGCCUGUGUACAAUGAAGGUUAGAGAAAAAGAUGUAGAACAUCCGGUUAUGACUCUUCUAGAAAUCAGUGGCACUAUCAAGCAACCCAACUUUAGAGAAAUGCCCCUAACAUGAUCCGAAAGAUGGAUUACCUCAUCCAUCAGAAUGAAAGGGCAGAAACGAGGUGAGGUAAGUCAUUUUCAUUUCUCUUCUUAUUCAAUCUACUAUGCAUGAGUUCAUUCCUCUUGGUAAUUUGGUUCGAAGGGCUUUUAAAAACAUUGACUCUACUGCAUACUUGUUUUAUAUCAUUAGGGCAUGAACUUUGGCACGUGCAUAAAACAGAAAUGCAAUUCAAAUUAAAUUCUUUUAGUUUCAAUAACAAUUGGACACUACUAGGCUAGACAACCUAGGCAAGUCGUAUACCCUUCCUCACCACUGAGUUUCAUUUCUGGAAAAUGGAGGGGCUGGCCUCCACCAGCCCUUCUUGUUAUGUUCUUGUACUCAUUCUGUUACACCUUUCUUAGUCAAUGAUUUUUAAAGCAAAGAUUAAAAAAUGAAGUAGGGUCCAGUACAUAAUAUUUAUGGUUCUAACUCUACUUCUUUCAGAAGUGAACUUCCCCACUCACAAUGCCUUUUCAGCCCACCCCACGUUUUAACCUUUUCCCUUUCCAUCAAAAUGCCUAAGCAGCCUUAGGACUAUGUGCAGGCAAAAUGGCGCCUUCUUGCCAAUCAUUUCUCUCAGAGUUGGUUUCAUCUUCUUGCCCUCUGUCUCCUUGACUUGUCUCUAUCACUGCAUAUAUUUCAGUUUAAGUGUUAAAAUGGAAGGAUAUAACUUGUUUGAGCCCAUCAUUGAGAAAGAAUUAUUCUUCACUAACUAUAAAGAAAGAACAAGACAAUUCCAUUUCACUGGAAGUGAUGUCUUACAGCGCUGGGCACCACUGAACCAUGCUUACAUUCUUAGCUACUGAGGAAGCUGAGAUCUGAGGAUUUGGGUUUGUGAGAACCUUAUC